rnacentral:rRNA from 1 species
ACGCUGGCGGCGUGCUUAACACAUGCAAGUCGAACGAUGAACCCACUUCGGUGGGGGAUUAGUGGCGAACGGGUGAGUAACACGUGGGCAAUCUGCCCUGCACUCUGGGACAAGCCCUGGAAACGGGGUCUAAUACCGGAUACGACCACUUCAGGCAUCUGAUGGUGGUGGAAAGCUCCGGCGGUGCAGGAUGAGCCCGCGGCCUAUCAGCUAGUUGGUGAGGUAACGGCUCACCAAGGCGACGACGGGUAGCCGGCCUGAGAGGGCGACCGGCCACACUGGGACUGAGACACGGCCCAGACUCCUACGGGAGGCAGCAGUGGGGAAUAUUGCACAAUGGGCGAAAGCCUGAUGCAGCGACGCCGCGUGAGGGAUGACGGCCUUCGGGUUGUAAACCUCUUUCAGCAGGGAAGAAGCGAAAGUGACGGUACCUGCAGAAGAAGCGCCGGCUAACUACGUGCCAGCAGCCGCGGUAAUACGUAGGGCGCAAGCGUUGUCCGGAAUUAUUGGGCGUAAAGAGCUCGUAGGCGGCCUGUCACGUCGGAUGUGAAAGCCCGGGGCUUAACCCCGGGUCUGCAUUCGAUACGGGCAGGCUAGAGUUCGGUAGGGGAGAU